rnacentral:rRNA from 1 species
CCUAACACAUGCAAGUCGAAACGCAGUAGCAAUACUGAGUGGCAAACGGGUGAGUAUAAUGUGGGAAUCUGCCUUUUGGUUCGGAACAACACGGGGGAAACCUGUGCUAAUACCGGAUAAGUCCUUACGGAGAAAGUUUUUAAAUGCCAAAAGAUGAGCCCGCAGUUUGAUUAGCUAGUUUGGUGAGGUAAAAGCUCACCAAGGCGAUAAUCAAUAGCUGAUUUUGAGAGGAUGAUCAGCCACACUGGGGACUGAGAUACGGCCCCAGACUCC